rnacentral:lncRNA from 1 species
AAUUUGAGUACAUAGAAGAGAACUUGUCCAAUAAGAGUCCUGCGCUUCUCAAGUAUAAUCCAGUUCACAAGAAAAUCCCUGUGCUUGUACACAAUGGAAAGCCGGUUGCAGAGUCACUUGUCAUCCUGGAGUACAUUGAUGAGACCUGGAAACAUAAUCCCAUCUUGCCUACAGACCCUUAUGAGAAGGCCAUGGCACGGUUCUGGGCUAAGUACAUGGAUGACAAGGUAAACCCGAUACUAUAUUCCCUUUUUAAAAAAAAAAAAUUCAUUUGGAUCCUGACUACUAUUCAUUAUGCAGCUCUGGCCGGCAGCAACAAAGGUCGUGGUGAGUAAGGGAGAGGAGCAAAAGGCAGUGAUUGAAGAAAUCCAGGAGCAGCUGAAAACUCUAGAGAGUGAACUGAAAGAGAAGAAAUUCUUUGGAGGGGAGAGUUUGGGAUUUGUAGACAUAGCUGCAAACAUUAUAGUUUUUCUUCUUGUUGCCCAAGAAGCUCUGGGAUUAAUGGAGAUCCUGACCGAAGAGAAGUUUCCUGUUUUGCAUGAAUGGUAUCAAAGGCUUGUCGAUGAUGCUGUUUUCAAGGAAUGUGUGCCACCAAGGGAGCGACAUCUUGGCUUCUUCAAAGCUCGGUUUGGAUCCUCGACGGCUUCCAAAUGAAGAGUUGGUUUAUGUCUGUGCAUGAGUUGAUAGGGGAGGAACCUUGCUAGUUGCUUCUCAUAUAUGUGUUUCAGUUAUGUACUUUGAAGUUGUGUCAUGGACUUUACCCUGUUUCUGGGGAUGACAACUUAAAAAAUAAAUUGGAGUAGUAUUCUAUGUUCAUCUAAAUAAAAUUAAUCAUAUUGUUUCAUUAAGAGUGACAGAGAUUUAAAAUAUGUAUAUAUAUAUAUAUAUAUAUAUAUAUAUAUAUAUAUAUUAAAAAGACGUUGUAAUUUAUUUAUAAAAUAAUUAAAAAAAUAUUUUUAGAAUAUUAUUUUAAUUAGAAAUGAAAAACAGAAUGUUUUUGUUUACUUGUGGGCGUUUGAGCAAGGAAAAAGAUUUGACUUAUAGGUGAUGAUUCUAGAUUAGUUGAAAUACGGCUUUUCACUAUUUGAGGAAAAGAAAAUUGGCUUUUGGCUUGAAGGGUAAUUUUGAAAUUACAGGGAUACUAUUAUUAAAAAUUUAUUAUUUUAUUUAAAAAAAUGUAUGCUCCCUAUGAUACUUUUAAGAAAUACAAUUAAAUUUUAAAAUUAUCGUUUUGAUGUUUUUGAUGUGAUAAUAAGUUUUGUAAAUUUAGAAAUAAUUUCACAAAUUUUAAAUUUAAAUAAAUUGUAAUAAAGUGUUAAUAAAAUAUGAAUAAAUAAAUAAAACAAUUUUAUUUUACUCUUUGGUGUAUAAUAUUUUUGUACCCACAACUUUAGUGAAUUUGCAAAACAAUAAGAAAAUAUGUGAAACAAAAUAUUUUUUAUUAAAAUAUAAUAAUUGUGAGAAUACCAUAUUGGUAAUAAUUCUUUUAUAAAAUAAUAUUUUCUUAUCCUUCUUUCACUUUGAACACACUCCAAAAGGAAGGAAAAUAUUUUUUUAGUUUUGAAAGCUAAUUGAGGGCUUAAUUCGGGAAAGGUGAAAAACAUUUUUUUUUUUUUUCUUAUUUCUUGAAAUUUUUCUUCUUUAUGAAAUUUUUGUUUCAAAUCUAUGAAAAACAUAUCUAUUACUCUUUUACUAUUUCUUGAAAAUUUUCUUAUUUAUGAAUUUCUAUGUGGAGUCGAUCUUCCUUUCAUUAAAGGAAGUCGCCCUAUUAUCCAUAGAAUUAAGAAAUAAAAAAUUUGAAAUUCUUCAAGAUUUAGUUGUUUAAUUUAAAGAAUUUGUUUCAUUAAUUUUAACAACUUAUCUUCUUUAUUAAGGAAAUUUGCUAACAAAAAAAUAUUUAUUUUUAAUUCUCUUUUAAAUUUUGCAAUCUUUCAAAAUUUGUCACAUAUAUUAUUUAUCGAGUUCAAAUUUUGUUGAAUUGGGAAAUCACAAUUUUGAAAACCAAUUUAAUGAUAAUUUAAUUAAUUAAAAGUGUUGAUGUCUAUAAUUUCUUCUUAAUAAUUAAAUAUUUUAAUUUUAUUAUUUAUUAAAAUAAAAAAUCUUAAUAUAUUUAUAUUUUAUUUUUAUUAUGAUUUUAAAUAUAUAUUUUUUAAAUUUUAAUAAUGCUCAAAUAACCAUAUUUACCCAAAAUAUCGAUAAUUACGAAUAUAUCAAUACUUUAAUUAUAUUUAGAAAUAUCAGAGUUGAUAUUUUUUUACAAAUAUCAAUGGAGCGAAAAUUAUUUAAAAUUCACUAACAUCCUUGAAAAAACUAAAAAAAAAAUGAUAAAAUAAGCAAAAAUACACAUUUUUAAGUUUUUUUAAAGUAUAAUUGAUAUACAUAUUAUAAAAAAGAAAAACAUCGAUAGAUAGAAAUAUAUCAGUAGAUUUGAUAUUUGAAUUUUAAGAAUAAUAAAUAUGAAUUUUGGAAGUAUAUAAAGUUAGAAUUGAGUUAAAAAAUAUUUGAUUUUAUUGAAUAAAAAUAAUUUAUACAUAAAUAUAAUACAUAUGAUAUUGUAAUAGUCUUUAGUAUCAAAAUGAAUGGGGAUCUUGUUGAAAAUAAUAUUUAUUUAAAAAAAAUUUAAAUACUUUUAUUAAAACAUGUUUAAUUACAUUUUAAAUAAAAAAUUAAAUUAUUUUAUAUAAAAUAUUUUAUUUAAGAUUUAAUUUCUAAAAUUUUAUUAAAAAUAUGUGAUAACAACUUUUUCUAUUAAUAUUAAUUUAUUUAAAUAAUUAAAAUUAUUAAUAAUUUAUCUUAUCAAAUUAAUUUUAAUUUAUAAAAUAUUAAAACUUUCUUAACUUUCUUAAAUUUUUAUAUUAUAGCAAUUUUUUUGGGUAAAUUUAUAUUUUUAAUAUUUUAAAAUAAAAACAUUUAAAAUUAAAUAAAAUUGAAAGGAUGAAUAAAAAAAAUUUAAGAGUGAAGUGAUAAUAAUUUUUUAAAAUAAGAUUAAUGAGAUAAAUAUGAAAAAUGUUAAAAAUAAAAUUAUAAUACAAAAUAAAAUGAUAAUAUAAAAACAUAUAUGAAAUUUGGGCGAUUGAAUCGUCAAAAAUUCAAAUAUGAGAAUUUUCAAAAUUUUCAAAAAAGUGGUAGAAGGGGCAAUUUUUUUACGUUCUCCAUCUGCUCCGCGUGUCGCUUCGAGAAAUACCAAAAUAUUGGCGAUAGUUUCGAAAAAUUUCCGUGACGAAUAUUGUGUCGGAGCCGGCCGAUAAACGAUAUUUUCCCGAAAUUUUCCGACAUUUCAAUCCUUGCAAUUUAGCCCACUUAAAUAAUGCAAAGAGAUAAGAUUCCAAGGGAAAUAUCAAAUAUCACAUCACCGACAGCGAUAAGUGCCGUCUUCAAAGUCUUCAUUGUCUGGAUGCGUAGGCCAUGCCUCAAUGGACACGCAUUGGCUGAUGUCUACCACUUUGUCAGGCCCUCACCAGAUACAUUAUUGGUUCCCAAUCAUCCAUCCGAUCACACUCCAAACUAAAAUCUCGACAAAUCCAAGGGCCAGCACCGCGCCUGGUUUAUCAAGAAAACCUCUAUAGAUAAGAAGAGGGCAUACCAGUGGCAGCCUGAUCUCUUCAAGCUGCAACAAUGGCUGAAGAAGUGAAGCUGUUUGGCAUGUGGGCAAGCCCUUUUAGCCGCAGAAUUGAAGUGGCCCUCAAGCUGAAAGGGAUUCAGUAUGAGUAUAUAGAAGAGGACUUGUCCAACAAGAGUCCUUCGCUUCUCAAGUAUAACCCAGUCCAUAAGAAAAUCCCUGUGCUUUUGCAUAAGGGAAAGCCAGUUGCAGAGUCACUUGUAAUCCUGGAGUACAUUGAUGAGACCUGGAAACACAACCCCAUCUUGCCUGCAGACCCUUAUGAGAGGGCCAUGGCACGGUUCUGGGCUAAGUUCUUAGAUGAGAAGGUAAACCCAUUACUAUUUUUUUUUCCUUUUUUAUUUUAAAUUCACUUGGGUCCUGACUACUGUACAAUAUUAUGCAGCUCUGGCCGGCAGCAAAAAAGGUUGCGUUGAGUAAGGGAGAGGAGCAUAAUGGACUGAUUGAAGAAAUCCAGGAGCAUCUGAAAACUCUAGAGAGUGAGCUGAAAGAGAAGAAAUUCUUUGGAGGGGAGAGUUUGGGAUUUGUAGACAUAGCUGCAGACAUUAUAUUUUGGCUGCUUGUUGUCCAAGAAACUCUGGGACUCGAUAUCCUAACCGAAGAUAAGUUUCCCGGAUUGCAUGAAUGGUAUCAUAGGCUUCUUGAUGAUGCUGUUUUCAAGGAAUGUGUGUCAAUGGAGCGACUUCUUGCCUCUUUCAAAGUUCGGUUUGGAGCCUUGACUGCUUCCAAAUGAAGAGCGGGUUUAUUUGUGGAUGACUUCAUGGGAGAGGAAUCUUUCUUCUUGCACAUGUAUUUCAUAGUUAUGCAUUAUGAAGUAUUGUAAUGAACCUUGUCCUGUUUGUGGGAAUGAGAACUUAAAAAUAAGUUUGGAGAAGUAUUGCUCCAAAUGGCCUUAGGAAGAAGACUCAAACAUUGCCUCCUAAUUAAUAGGAAUUGAAUAUCCUAUGUUCAUCUACCUCUUGGUUAGAUUGAAUAAAGAUUUGGAUAUAGAAAUCCUUAUGACUGAGUCAUGGUUUGGUUCGGGGUUUAGUUCAGAGAUGAGAAUGUAAGUGGUAUGGGUAACAUUCAGCCUCAACUCCAUUCCUUUUAAGGUUUUCGAUUGGGUUUUCAUCCUCCCAUCAACGAAUGUAAAUCAAAUCUAAAAGUCAUUAUUUGAGGAAUUAUUUGGGUAAAUAAUCCCGACAGUCCAAUCAUCUCUCCCCAGCAUGAUGCUCCCCCAACAUUAUUGAAAUAUGUUUAACAUUUAUUAAAUGUUUAGUGAUGAAUUGGAGUGUGACAAUGAUGCUCUUUCCAAUAAAUAUUUCUCAAAAUUACCAUUUUUUUUUCAAAAAUCCUCCACCAACCCAUUAUAAAUGUAAGUAAUCAUACUAAAAUAAUAAUGCUAAUACAAUUGAAAUAAAAAAUAAAAUAUGAAUAAAUAAGUAACACAAUUUUAUUUUACUCUUUAGUCUAUAAUCUUUCUUCUUAAUAAUUAAAUAUUAUAAAUUUAUUAUUUAUUAAAAUAAAAAAUCUAAUAUAUUUAUAUUUUAUUUUUAUUGUGAUUUUAUAAUUCUUUUAAUUUUAGUAAUAUAUAAAUUAUAUAUUUAUAUUGUACAGUCAGUCACCUCGAUCCCACAUUUCAAGCAUAAACCAAUUAUUUAAAACAUAAUAUUGUUGGAUCAAAACAUCAAUUUUGAUCCAAAAUUCCUUUCUCCGAGAUUAACUGCCCAUGUGAAUGAUCUAAAGCGGUCAGGGAUAUAUCACGUGACCCAAAAAACGACAAAGGAAGGGACAGUGUCGACGGACAGUGCGGUGGCUCCUCUGCCAAAAAGUUGGUCACAGACUUUAAAAGGUAAGUUUUGGGGUAAAAUAACCCUUUUACAACAAAAAAAAACAAAAGAAUUUGGGAAACUGUGUUUUGACGGGCCAUUUGAAAAAUAUCUUAUUUUUGGAAUCCAAUUUUAUAAAAUAUGAUAACCAGAUUUUAAUAUGAAAAGUAAUAUUGCUUUUAUGCACUUUGACCUGGCUCCAUUUUUUUUGUCAAGAUUGCCCUCUGACGGCAAUGACCUCGACGGCAAUGGCUUUUGGCUUAGGUUUUUCGGUGUCGGAGGGGGCUUCCUUUUCGACUUUUUUCUUCAUGCUAGAGUGAGGAGUGAGGAGUGAGGAAGACGAAAGUGUCCUUGCCGUCGUUGUUGCUCCGGUGGAGGAAGUCGCAAAACUUCCACCGUUUUGAUGAUCAUGUGGAGUUGCUUUUCCUGCACCUUCCCGAUGGAGACUUCGCUACCUUGGGUUUCCACACACAGUACAUCCUCGACAGCACUCCCUCGAGCUCGUCGACCUCUGAUGACAAGGACACUCCAGGUCCAUUGCAGAUAAAAAAAAUAGGUUAUAGUGGUGACGAUGACAAUGGACUGAGUUGCGGCGACAAUAACCUUGACACAUCCAGAUUUUUCUCAAAUAUGAAAUAGAAUUUCAAUUGAAAAAUAUGCUUUUGAUAGAGGAGAGAGGAACGGCUUCGGAGGCCGACGAGCUCGAGGGAGUGCUAUCGGGGAUGUACUGUGUGUGGAAACCCAAGGCGGCGAAGUCUCCACCAAGAAGGUGCAGGAAAAACAACUCCACGGGAUCAUCGAAACGGUGGAAGUUCCGCAACUUUCUCCAUCGGAGCAACAGCGACGACAAGGACACUUUCGUCUUCCUCACUCCUCACUCCAGCAUGAAGAAAAAAGCCGAAAAGGAAGUCCCCUUGGGCGCUGAAAAACCUAAGUCAAAAGCCAUUACCGCCAAGGUCAUUGCCGCCGAAGGGCAUUCUUAGCACAAAAAAUGGAGCCAGCUCAAAGUGCAUAAAAGCAAUAUUACUUUCCAUAUUAAAAUUUGGUUCUCAUAUUUUAUAAAAUUGGGUUAUGAAAAUCAGAUAUUUUCCAAAUAGCCCCAUCAAAACACAAGUUUCCCAAAAAAAAUUAUAUAUAAGGUUAAGCCUUUUUACAAAAUUCAUGAUUUUAUUUUAAUUUUUUAAAAUUUAAGUUGAAACCUUGAUUAGAUUUCAGUUUUGGAUUGAAGCCGCAAUUAACAAUUAAGACUUCGUUUUUUAACUGAAGUUGUAAUUAGCAAUUGAUGCUUCAAUUUUUUUUCUUACUUUAAAAUUUAAUUUAAAAAUAUUAAAUUAAAAAUUAUUAUUAAAAUUAAAAAUAUAUAAUUUAAUAAUAAGAAAUUUAUAUACUUAAACUUAAAGAUUUAGUAUUACUUUAAUAAAGAUAAAUUGAUAAAUAUAAUAAUAAAUAAAUAUUUUAUUUAUCAAUAAAUUAAUAAUUUUAAAAUAAUAAAGUUAUAUGAGACAUAAAUAAUGUAUAAAUUUAUAUAAUUUAUUAAUUUAAUAUAUUAAAUUUAUUAUAUUUUUAAAAUAUAAAAUGAUAUAAUCUAUUAAUUUAAAUUACAUCACGUGUAGUACCUACUAAAAUCAUAGAGGGACAUUUUUUUCCAUUAUAUAUGAAAUAUUAAGAUUAUAUUAUUAUUUUAAUAAAGAUUAAUUUGUCAAAAUACAAAUAAAUUAAUAUCUUAAAAAUACAACAAAUUAAAUAUCUUAAAUUAAUAAAUUAUAUAAUUUAUAUCUUAUUUAUAUAUUAUAUAAUUUUAUUAUUUUAAGAUUAUUAAUUUAUUGAUAAAUAAAAUAUUUAUUUAUUAUUAUAUUUAACAAUUUAUAUAUUAGAUUGUUAUAUUUAAAUAUAUAACUUUUUUUUAUUAUUAAGUAUAUACUUUUAAUUUCAAUAAUAAUUUAUAAUUUAAUAUUUUUAAUUAAAAUUUAAAGUAAAAAAAAUUAACUGAAACCUUUAUUGAAAAUUGAGAUCUUAGUUAAAAAAUGAAAUCACAAUUAUCAAUUGUAACUUUAAUUUAAAAAUGAAAUCUCAAUUAACAAUUGAAAUUUCAACUUCAAAAUGAAGCCUCAAUUGAUAAUUGAAGUUUCAGUUUCAAAAUGAUGUCUCAGUUACUAAUUACUUUUUAAAAAUAAAGUAUCAUUUAACAAUUGAAACUUUAAUUUAAAUUUUGAUUAAAUAAAAUAAAAUAAAAUUAUGAUAUAUCUCUUAGUGAUGAUAAAAAGAUUAAUUUGAUCAUAAAGUUUUGCGGACGGGAUACACUAACAUUUCCUUUUAUAAAAGGGUUAUUUUGCACCCCCAAACUCUCAAAAGGCAUUGGCUGACGUCACCAAGUACAUUAUUGGGAUCCCAACCAGCCAUCCUAUCACACUCCACAUUAAAAUCUCCACAAAUCCAAGGUCCAGGACGGCACCUGGUUAAUCAAGAUUCAAGAUCAAGAAAACCACUAUAAAUAAGAAGAGAGCAUACCAAUGGCAGCCACAUCUCUUCAAUCAGCAACAAUGGCUGAAGAAGUGAAGCUUUUUGGCACGUGGGCAAGCCCCUUUAGCCGCAGAAUUGAAGUGGCCCUGAAGCUGAAAGGAGUUCAAUUUGAACAUAGCAGAGAACUUGUCCAGUAAGAGUCCUGCGCUUCUCACGUAUAAUCCAGUUCACAAGAAAAUCCCUGUGCUUGUACACAAUGGAAAGCCGGUUGCAGAGUCACUUGUCAUCCUGGAGUACAUUGAUGAGACCUGGAAACAUAAUCCCAUCUUGCCUACAGACCCUUAUGAGAAGGCCAUGGCACGGUUCUGGGCUAAGUACAUAGAUGACAAGGUAAACCCAAUAGUAUCUUCCUUUUUUAAAAAUUUUCAUUUGGGUCCCGACCACUAUUCGUUAGGCGGUUCUGGCCGGCAGCCAAAAAAGGUUGUGGUGAGUAAGGGAGAGGAGCAAAAGGGAGUGAUUGAAGAAAUCCAGGAGCAGCUGAAAACUCUAGAGAGUGAGCUGAAAGAGACGAAAUUCUUUGGAGGGGAGAGUUUGGGAUUUGUAGACAUAGCUGCAAACAUUUUAGUUUGGCUUCUUGUUGCCCAAGAAGCUCUGGGAUUUGUUGGAACUUUUACUAAUAAAACUAAAUUACCUACUUUUAUCUAGGAAUAUAUUAUUACCUUCAUUAUGAUUUUAACCCAGAUCUAACCUACUAUGUACCAUGAAUAUUCCCUCUCACAGCAAACACCUAGGAAACAACCAAAUAUCUUCUACUUUCAAGCCUACAGUUAUAUUAUACAUGUUAGGGUCAAACAAUGUACUAAAAUGGAUCUCCAAUGACAGUCUAGGAUUUAUAUAGUUUUUUACUAGUGUAAAAAAUUUUAAAUCCUUGAUGAAUGAUGCUUUUACUUCAUGUUUAGUAGACUCUUACUGUGGAUGAGAAUUAAUUAACUAAUCAUAUAUUAAGGUAUCGAAGUGGUAUUUAUCACACUCCCAAAUCCAUACCAUUGAAUAAAAGUCUAAAUACAUAAAACUUAGAUAUAUUUUAAUUUAUAAAGGAAAAAUGGUAAGAUAAUAAAAGUGGUACCUGUCGAACUACAUUCUAGAAUGUCAAAUUUAUAUCCAUGACCAUGAAUAAGGAUAUAAAUAAAUGGAAAUAAGGUACAGAAUACAAAUAAACGAAUCGAUGGUCUAUAUGUAUUUGGAUAGGUACUAUUUUGAUGGCUUAGCAAGAGUAGCUCGGAAAGUUCAAAAACGAAAAAAUGGUGGAUGGUAGACCCACAGCAAUACACCAACCGAUGAAUAUUUUUGAAAGACAUCGGGUCAAACUCGAGUUAUGAUGCAGAAUGGUCUGUGCAAUAUCGCUUCACCAGUAAACGGGUUUGUCCUCAAAUGAAAAAGGGAAGCCGAAAGCCAGUGAACAAAUUACACGAAAAAGUUUGUCCAAGACUCCCAAGGCUUCAAACGUUCCUUCGUCUGCAUAAUUCUUAGUGCACACGUAUUGGCUGACGUCUGGAAGCCUCUUGAUGGCGUCACCAUAUACAUCAAUGCUUCCCAAUCAGCCAUUCGACGACACUGACACGCUCCAAAGUCCAAACUAAGAUCUCGACAAAAGAAAAACCCCUAUAAAUCAGAAGAAAAUACGGCAAGGGAACCAUACCUCUCCAAACUGCAACAAUGGCUGAAGAAGUGAAGCUGUUUGGUGCAUGGGGAAGCCCCUAUAGCCGCAGAAUUGAAUUGGCCCUGAAGCUGAAAGGACUUCAAUUUGAAUACAUAGAAGAGAACUUGUACAAUAAGAGUCCUGCGCUUCUCAAGUAUAAUCCAGUUCACAAGAAAGUCCCUGUGCUCGUACACAAUGGAAAGCCGGUUGCAGAGUCACUUGUCAUCCUGGAGUACAUUGAUGAGACCUGGAAACACAACCCCUUCUUGCCUACAGACCCUUACGAAAAGGCCAAGGCACGGUUCUGGGCUAGGUUCAUAGAUGAGAAGGUAAAUCUAAUACUAUUUUGUUUUUCUUUUUUUAAAAAUCAUCUGGGUCUUGUCUCUUUAAGCAUUGGUAAACUUUAUAUGCAUUAUACAGUUCUGGCCGGCAGCAAAAAAGGCUAUGGCGAGUAGGGGAAGGGAGCGAGAGGAAGCGAUUGAAGAAGCUCAGCAGCAUCUGAAAACCCUUGAGAGUGAGCUGAAAGAGAAGAAAAUCUUUGGAAGGGAGAGUUUGGGAUUUGUAGACAUAGCUGCGCAUCUUUUGUUUUGGCUUGUUGUUGCCCAAGAAGCCUUUGGAGUGGAGAUCCUAACUGAGGAGAAGUUUCCCGCCGUGCAUGAAUUGUAUCAAAGGCUCGCAGAUGAGGCUGUUUUCAAGGAAUGUAUGCCACCAAAGGAGCAACUCAUUGCCUAUCUUAAAGUUCGGUUGGGAGCCUGGACUGCUUCCAAAUGAAGAGUUGGUUUAUGUACGUGUCUGAGUUGAUGGGAGAGGAACCUCUUUCUUCUCAUCUACGUAUGUCAAAGUCCUGUAUUUUGAAGUUGUAUCAUGAGCUUUGUCCCGUUUGUGGGUAUGAGAACUUAAAAAUAAAUUGGAGAAGUACUGCACUAAAUGGUACUACGAGGAAGAACACUCCAGCAUUGCUCCUUAAUAAUAGCAUUUCAAUUCUAUGUACAUCGACCUCUAGAUUAGAUUAAUAAAGAUUUGGAUAUAGAGAUGCUUAUGAAAGAGCAGCAUGGCUUGGUUCUGGUUCAGUUCAUGGAUAUGAGAGAAUGUAAGUGACGUUGAGCCUCAACUCUAAUGCUUUAAGGUUGUGUUUUGAAUUUAUGGCAUGGGAUGCUGAUGCUACUUCUAUAUUCUGCUUUGAAUCAUGGGUGUAUAUGGGCAUCACAAAACUAGAAGCUCCGUUUUGCUACAAAAUUUUCAAAACAUUCAAUGUUUCUAUGCCUAUUUUUUAAAAUAAUUGAUUAUAAACAUAUAAAAUAGUAAUUAACAAAAAUGCUCCUUUUACCAAUUUUUGUUUUUAUUCUAUCAUUCUUCCUAUGCUAUUAGGAGCAAAUUCUCUUUUAUUUAACCAUUUUAGGAUUUUUCAUUAUUUUUUAAACUCUUUUAUAAAUAAUUGAAAAAUCAAUAUUAUUUUCGGUUGGUUGCAGAGUCACUUGUCAUCCUGGAGUACAUUGAUGAGACCUGGAAACACAACCCCAUCUUGCCUACAGACCCUUACGAAAAGGCCUUGGCACGGUUCUGGGCUAGGUUCAUA